UUUCAAUGUGAUGGUGGGGGUGAGUUCACAAGCAAUAAGUUCACAAAUCACCUACAACAACAUGGGAUUCAACAGUUAAUUUCUUGCCCUCAUACACCACAACAAAAUGGGCUAGCAGAGAGAAAACAUAGGCACCUGAUAGAGCUUGGUUUAGCUAUGAUCUGUCACAGCAGAGUUCCUCUCAAGUUUUGGGUUGAAGCCUUUUAUACAGCCAACUUUCUCAUCAACCUGCUGCCUACAUCAACUCUGGCAGAAAACAAGAGUCCCUUUGAAGUUCUGAAUGGACAACAACCAGAGUAUACGUCAUUAAGAACAUUUGGAUGCGCCUGUUAUCCCACUUUAAGAGACUAUGCUCAACACAAGUUUGAUCCAAGGUCAUUGAAGUGUGUAUUUCUAGGCUACAAUGAGAAAUACAAAGGUUAUAGAUGCUUACUCGUGGCAUCAGGGAGAGUGUACAUCAGCCGCCAUGUCCUGUUUGAUGAACAAGACUUUCCUUUUCACAGGUCUGCACCAACCCCGCAAAUGGUCUCAACACCUCUCCUUGCUGCCUGGUCCAAGAGUAUUCCCAUACCACCACCUGACAAGGCACCUGAUCAACAAGAUCUCAACAAGUCAGAAUGCUCACUCAUUACUCCUAUAUCUGGUAAUCUUAUAAAACCACCAGUUACCUCUGAAGCAUCCGUGGAUCCUUUACAGCUUGAGGCACAAACUAUUGUGAGAGAUGAGGAGAAUUCUGGGUGUACGGCAGGCUUUGAUCCUGAUCCUAUAGGCAACAGUUCUCCUUCAUCUUCUCAUAGUAGUGACAGUGCAGCUACUAUGUCCCCAACACUCAGCAAUUCACCUACAACAGAAACAGAACAAUAUGAGUCUGCUCAACAACAACAAGAAACAAAUGCAACAACAAGUCAAGUUAUACAAGAAGCAGCUCCAGUACAUCCCAUGAUCACAAGGUCUAAAGCAGGUAUCAGAAAACCUAAUCCCAGAUAUGUGCUGUUCACCUCCAGAGUAACAUAUCCAGAGCCAAAAACUGUUACUGCUGCCCUUAAAGAUUCUGGAUGGAAUGGAGCCAUGAAUGAGGAGUAUGAUAACUGCCAAGAAGCAGGAACAUGGUCCCUAAUCCCUAGAACACCAGACAUGCACAUUCUGGGUUGUAAAUGGGUAUUCCGUACAAAGCUCAAUGCAGAUGGAACACUAGAUAAACUCAAGGCAAGAUUGGUGGCCAAGGGCUUUGAUCAAGAAGAGGGUAUUGAUUAUCUUGAAACCUACAGCCCUGUAGUAAGAACACCUACAGUAAGAUCAGUUCUACAUCUUGCUACUAUUAUGGGUUGGGAAAUAAAACAAAUGGAUGUUAAAAAUGCAUUCUUACAUGGAGAUCUUACUGAAACUGUGUACAUGACACAACCUGCCGGCUUCAUUGAUCCUGCACAUCCAGAUUAUGUUUGUCAUCUGCACAAGUCACUGUAUGGUCUAAAACAAUCACCACGAGCAUGGUUUGAUAAGUUUAGCACUUAUCUUUUGGAGUUUGGCUUCGUCUGCAGCAUGUCAGACCCUUCUCUGUUCAUCUACACCAAAGGUAAAGCUAUUAUUCUGCUAUUACUAUAUGUGGAUGAUAUGGCUAU
rnacentral:lncRNA from 1 species